UUGGAUUCUUAACCUGCUGAACCACGACGGGGAAUCCAAGACGGCAUUUUUCAAAGGGUAUUUCGUGGAAGGGGAUAGAAAUUCUACAGGAGAAUGAUAGAGGAGAAUAUUCAAUUAAUUAUAUAACUAAUUAAUCUGAAAACAUGUUCAGUGGGCAAAUAUGUUUGGAAAUACUGGGUUCAUUAAUGCUAAAUGGGCUUCUUUACUGUAGUAAGUUGUUCUGAACUCUUAUAAUGGAAGCGGAGAAACCGAACUUGUGAAUGGAAAAUUUUUUCACAGGGACAUCGGUAUCUCAUAGCAUUGCAAUACAGUGGGCUUCCGAGAGUACUUAACCUGGACUCAGUCUCCCAUCUCUGCUUCUUACUGGGCAUCUGUUUUAUUCUCUGCUCUCUCCUUCCCUCACAUCCUAGCCUCCUAACCCUCUGUAGUCAUCAUGGUAGAAAAUGAAGUGAUGACAGGUGUCAGAGCUUUAUAUCUUACAGCUUCAGGCAUUAGAAAAACACUAGCCUCUCAGUUUCCUUCCCGAAUUCCCACCGAGUAAAACAGGCCUAACUUGAAGCAAUUACUCACCCGGGGACCAAUCAAAUGUGGCUUGUAGGUGGAGUCUGGGAAAGAUAUUGUGAUUGGCCAAACUAAGGUCAUGUGCUUACUUUUGGGCCAAUCAACUGCAGCCAAGAACGCGGUUGUUGAAUAAAACGGCUGCUCCGGGAGUAGCUACGUGAAGGGGUGAAAUGGGGCUAAAGGCUACUUGCUAGAGGAGACAAGGGGACUGGAGAGACAAAGCAGUGUGCCCAUGAUACAGAGGAGAGGCAACAUGGAUUUCCAAAAGAAGGCACAUUGUAUGCAGCUUUUCCCCAGAUAUAUUUGACCACAGACAGUCACUCUUGGAUGCCGUCCCUUCUGGGUAUUGAGUGUCAAGCUGGAACCUCAGCUUCUUGGGAGGAAGUGAAGAGGAAGAGGCUUGGGGAUCAGGCAGGGGCACAGGUGCCUACUCCAGGAAGCUAAAGAUGGUGGUUUGAGAGCACAGACCCUGGGCUCAGACUGCCCCUCAUGGAUCAAAGCUCUGAUUUUCAUCAGCUGCAUAACCCCUUGGAACCUUCUGUGGCCUCUCUGAGCCUCGUGUCUUCAUCUGGAAAGGAGUCAGCUGCAAUGAUACCUGUCUUUGGGACUGCUGAGUGGUUAAGCAAACGAAAGAACUAAAGCAUUAGAAUGAUGACAAAGAAAGAAGAAAAAAAUUCAGGAUGUGGCAUGUGUGGACAAUCCAGGCAUAGAUGGCCAUUGUUCUAGGAGGACACGUCGGGAAUGAACCAAGGGGACUAUUUCCUUUUGCCACCAGGCCCGAGCCCAGGGUGAAGGGGGAUCUUCUAAAGGACCCAGCCCUACACUGCCGACUCCAGGACCCAAGCCCACAAUGCAGUAUAAUCCUGUUUAAAGAACCACCACAGGAAGCCCAAUUCUGACUUAACCAGAAAACUGAACACAGAGAGCAGACCACAGUCCUACGGCUCUUAGGAAGAGAGAGACAUCUGCUGUCCAAGAUUAAGGUAUUUGCUCUUGGACCCCUAUGGGUUAUUUAUGGCUCCUGGAACAAACUGUCACACACUUAGUGAGUUAAGUUAACACACAUGGAUUGUCUUCAUUUCUGGAGGUCAGAAGUCCAGAAUGGACCUCAUGGGGUUAAGAUCAAGGGUGGGUAGGGCUGUGUUCCUGGUGGAGGCUGGAGAGAAGAAGUGUCUGUGUUCUUGCCUUUUCCAGCUUCUAGAAGCUGUCCAUGCUUAUUGGCUUGUGACCUCUUCCUCCCGUCUUUAAACUCACCCGUGGCCAGCAGGGUCUUCAUCGCAUCUCAUCACUCUGCUACUGACUCUUCUGCCUCCCUCUUCUAUAUCUAAGGGCCAUUAGGACCACGUGGGGCCUCCUUGGGUAAUUCAGGAAAAUCUCCCCAUCUCAAGGCCGGCUCAUUAGCAACCUUAACUUCCCUCUGCCAUGUAACGGAACAUGGAAGAGAUUCACAGGUUUCAGGGAUUGGAGUUGUACAUAUUUGAGCAGGAAGUGGGGGAGAUUAUGUGCUCUGACACAUCCUGUGAAAUAAGCUUCCCACUGCUCCAGAGCUGCACUGUCCAAUAUGGGAGCCACCAGCAGCAGUGACCACUGAAUCCUAGAAAUGGGACUAGUCCAUACUGACAUGUCCUGUUAAUACAAAAUACACCCUGGAUUUUGGAGACUUCGGGUUACAUAAUGUGGAGUUCCCAUUGUGCAGCAGCAGAAAUGAACCUCACUAGUAUCCAUGAGGAUGUGGGUUUGAUCCUGCAUUGCUGUGGCGUAGGCUGGCAGCUAUAGCUCUGAUUUGACCUCUAGCUUGGGAACUUCCAUAGGCCUCGGGUGAGUCCCUAAAAAUCAAAAGACAUAAGGAAUGUGUGUAUCUUAAUGAUUUUUGAAAAUCUGGUUACAAAUUUACUGGAAAUGAUAGUAUUUUAGAUAUACUGGUUUCAAAACAUAUAUCAUUAAAGCUAAUUUCCCCCCUUUUCAAGUUUUUUGUUAACGAGGCUACUAGAAAACUUUCUAUCACACAUGCUGUGGCUCCCCUUUCAUUUCUAGUGGACGGCACUGCUCCAAGCUAGCAGGGCAAUCUGUGGCAUCCACGCUUUGAGUAGACAGUAGUUUCAGGAGUGAGGGGAUCCUCAGCUUACAGCAGGGGGCGCUGUGAGGAACAGCUACUCUGGAGAUGCCAGGUUGAGUAGAGGAAGGAACUCAGCACUUAGGAGCCAGGCAGAGCCUGCUGGGACGUCCCAGCCUCAUGUGUGUGUCUGUGAGACAGAACUUGUUUUUCAAACUUGACUUGUUUCACAGGAGACGCCUAUGCCAAUGCCAGAAAAACUAGAACCAUCCCUGCUUACUCCUCAGACCUCUACAAAGGCUUUGCUUUUUCAAAGUCAAGAUAAUCCAUCCUGCAAGCCAUCUGCCAUGGAGGACACCAGGUCACUCACCCCUCUACCACACAGCCGAUGACAGCCAGUGUUCGUCACAACAGGUCCCAGUGGGAACAUCCUAAAGGUGUUUGUAAGCUGUUUGCACAGCCUGGGAAGACAUGAGGCUGGGCACCGGCUGGGGAAGGCUUGGGACAGCAGCCCUCCUGGCCUGAAGUUAAACUUUGGCUAUGAGGAGAUGAGACUGGCAGGUGCACAGGGAGUUCCCCCUCCAGACGGGGUGGCGAGGACCCAAGAGAAGAGAGGAGAGAAAGGGGUCGGAAUUUGUUUUCCAAGAGUUCCCAGAACCUCACUUUUCCAGCAUGCCAUCAGUGGUACCAGACAAGAGAUUCACAAGGAAAAAGAAAAUUUCAACAGAGCAACAACUGUCAAGUUUCCAGGGCAAUCUCCACCUUCAUAGCCUUUGCUAUCAUGCAGAACCCGUGCCCAGAAACCUGGCCUUGACUGUGACCACAGCAUACACCAAAGGCACACAGGCACGUUGCCGUCAGGGAAAUGAAGACAGUGCAGUGUGGGGAGGUGUGCGUGAUUGAAGGCAGCUUCCCACAGCUGUGAGCCAGGUAACAAGCUCAGUGAAGGCGUUGUCACGCUUUCAAACGCCUGAAAAGAGGAGCAAAGAGACAACAGAGGAAGAUGUUUUUGGUGUGAUCAAAGGGCAGUCGGAUCACCCCAGGGAGGGAAGUGGUUGGCGUGCCGUGCAUGUGUGGAGGGAAGUGACAGGUGCAAAUACAGGAGGGCACCACACAUUUCCUUACCACCCAGAAACCCAUUAAGCAGGAGGCAGCUGGCCAGGGAGUCAGAGGGCUGAAUAGCCCACUGACCUCCAAAAAUUAGCCUCCUUCCAUUUCCAACUCUUAAGGUUCUAUUUGCUUGGCUUAGUUUAUAUCUAGGGAAUCUCCAAGACUCUUUCAAGAAGAGACUUUUGCAUCCCUGUUAUCUAGAAAAAGGGUGAUGUUUUCUGUCCACUCUCCCUGAAAUGCCAUCUCAGACAUUAAGUUAACUGUAGCAAAGGAACUUUCUAAAUCCUUAUCAAAGGACUAUGGUCACCUGAAUGAAACUGUCUGGGCAUUCAGGAGCAAAUGACACAUGUAGUCUUCGGAAAUUGUUUUGCAAGGAAUACAGGUUUAUAUUAAAGCUCUGAAGCAAGUACAAUAAACGCUCCACAUCAUCUUAGAGAAUGCUUGCAAGGAUGCAUUUCAUUGACAUAUUUAGAGCAAAUUAGUCUAUUUGACAUUGUUUCUCCAAAUUGCAUCAUAUCAUUGCUUCAUUAAGAAUGCUCCAAUUAAGGGAAAGAAAGAAGUUUCUGUAGGGUAGCUAUCUGUACACAUUAGUCUGAGGCUUUCAAAUUAGAGACCAAAUCACAGGUCCCCGUUACCAUGAGAACCAGAGUGUUUCUCCGGCUGUUAAAAUUAUUAACUCGAAGAACAUGCAUCUUCUUAAACUCUGCCUGUUAUUUAUCUACUGUUCCAUGGGCUUGACUGUGCCUAGAGUGAACUCUAUUAAUCAUCAGCUGAAAAAAAGUGCACGGGCUGCAGGAGAGAGCAGCCGUGCCUUUCUUCCUGUCGAGAGCGGCAAGCAAUGGCAAUCCAUUUCCCCAUGUUGCUCCAUCUCUCUUGGAGGAUAGAAGCGAGGGACUGAGAAGCCCUGGAGUGAAGACAGGCUGGAGAAGCCCGAGAUGAUGCCCAGAGAUGAGCAAGACCAGCUGGCAGUGGCGUUCACACGGUGUGCCACUGCAGGGACAGGCGACACUGAUGAGUGACCAGAGGCCUCUGUCCACUUGCCAGAUGACCCUGAGCUCCGGUCCAACUCCCCAUCUAAAAGUGAAGCCUCGUCACAGUGAAGGCCUAGUCACUUACACUGCAGAGAAUGCACCCACUUCAUCUCCCACGCAGUGUGCACCGUAUCUCCGUUUUACAGAGAAAGAAACCAAGGCUUAGAAAAAUUCUACAACCUGCUCAAGAAGUCAAGCCAGCACAUGGAGAAACCAGGGCCUCCAAGUGAGAUCUUCUGUCUCUAAAAUCCCAUGCUUCCCACACCAAAACUUGCACACAGAGCGCAAGUUUUAUUUGUCAUUGCCAAAACUUGGAGGCAACCAAGGUGUCCUUCAGUAGGGGAAGGGAUGGAUACACUGUGGUCCAUCCUGACAAUGGAAUGUAAUUCAGUGCUAAAAAGAAACGAGCCGUCCAGCAAGCCAUCAAGAGGCAUGGGGGUGGGGGGGGACCUUAAAUACACGCUGCUAAGAAGCCAGUCUGAAAAGGCUACACGCUAUAUAAUUCCAGCUAAAUGACAAAACAAUGGAAUCAGUAAAAAGAUCAGUGGUUGCCAGGCAUUUGCAGAGACUUAGGGGUGAACAGGCAGAGUACAGAGAAUUUUUAGACCAGUGAAUAGACCCUAUGUGAUGCCAUAAUGGCAGAUACACGUUAUUAGACAUUUUUCUAAAUCCACAGAACCUACAAUUCUGAAAAGCAACUCUAAUGUAAACUACGGACUUUGGGUGAUUACAAUGUGUCAAGGUAGGUCCACCGAUUGUCACAAAGGUACCCCUCUGAUGGGAGAUGUUGACACAGGGGGAGGCUGUUCAUGGGUGGAAACAAGGGGGUGUAUGGGAAAUCACUGUACCUUCCCCUCAAUUUUGCUAUGAACCUGAAACUGCUCUAAAAAAAAUACAGACUUAAAAAAAAAUAUGCCAUGUGCCUUCCUUGUUAUCACCCUGCCAAAGAAUGAAGGCUAUUGCCAUUUAAGGAGAUGCAAGAAGAUGCACACAUGCUGUGAUGAGAAGGAGCAGGAGAAAUCAAGGCGUCAGAAGUGGGGCGGCGGGGCUGCUCUGCAGGAAGCAGGGUCCGAAGAGGUGUGGGACGGGGCACAGAGUCUCCUCAUCAAAGGCCCUGGCUGGGCUUCCACCCUCUGGCUCAGCUUGGUUAUGGUCAUUCGUUUCUUAAGUCUCACAGCGGCUAGUAAUACACUCUGCCUGGAACUGACUUGUCCUCUUAAGCAAUUUGUUUAUUCAGGUGUCACAUGGGGAGGGAGAAGGGUACCCAUCACUCUUGUGCACUGUGAUGUGGUCUCAUAAAGCAAACACACCAUGCUCCCAGAUCAAAGCAGAACCUCACCAGCAUCCCAGCGGUCCCGAGGUAACUUCUCUCCAUCACUACUUUUGCUCUGGUUCCCAAUACCAUACAUUAGUUUUGUCUGUUUGUUGAGCUUUUUAUAGAUGGAACUACACACUGGAUGUCCCCUUCCCAGCCUUUUAAAAAAAUGAAGUAUAGUUGAUUUACAGUGUUGGGUUAGUUUCAGGUGUACAGCAAAGUGAAUCAGUUA